rnacentral:rRNA from 1 species
CCUACGGGAGGCUGCAGUGAGGAAUAUUGGUCAAUGGCCGCAGGGCUGAACCAGCCAAGUCGCGUGAGGGAUGACGGUCCUAUGGAUUGUAAACCUCUUUUGUCAGGGAGCAAAGGGCGCCACGUGUGGCGCUUUGCGAGUACCUGAAGAAAAAGCAUCGGCUAACUCCGUGCCAGCAGCCGCGGUAAUACGGAGGAGGCGAGCGUUCACCGGUUUUAUUGGGUUUAACGGGUGCGCAGGCGGAAUGUCAAGUCAGUGGUAAAAUUUAGGGGCUCAACCCCGUCGUGACGUUGAAACUGGCGUUCUUGAGUGAGCGAGAAGUAUGCGGAAUGCGGGGUGUAGCGGUGAAAUGCAUAGAUAUCACGCAGAACUCCGAUUGCGAAGGCAGCAUACCGGCGCUCAACUGACGCUCAUGCACGAAAGCGUGGGUAUCGAACAGGAUUAGAUACCCCGGUAGUC